AAGGCAUGUUUGUUCGAUGCCAGCAGUUUUCUGCUUGUCUUGCAUCGUUUCCUAAAUACGUAGUAUAAAAUUGGUCUUAUCUCGUUUUAUUAUAAAAGGUGUACAAGACUUUAGGAAGGGGAAGGGUGGCCAAAGCGUUGAUAAGAUGUUGCUUGGAAGAGGGAUUGUUGGAAAUUUGCGAUACCGAAUGCAUUAGGAAGUAUUAAUAGUUGCAUUUUGAUUAUCGUAAUCGUGGCCUUCGCUUCGUCCGGUGUAUCUAGUCUAGUGCUAGUUUGCAAGUUCGAUUAUGCCGGAUAUUUUUCGAUUGAAAGAUCUCGUGUUUUUCGUGUUCUUUUUUUCUCAAAUUCGGGGCUUCGUUGGACGUUGAAGUUUCGGCGAUUCUCGCGUAUUCGCCGGGGAUUAUUGCAAGCAAGCUAUCGUGAGUUUUACGACGAUUUUUGGUGAGUUUUUUGCAUUAUUUUGGUCCGGUGUGUAUCUAGCGCUGGUGUGCAUCGUGCAAGUUCGAUUAUGCCGGAUAUUUUUCGAUCAAAAACUCUCGUGUUUUUUGUGUUUUUUUUUCUUUUUUUUAAAAUCGAGGCUUCGUUGAUGUUGAAGUUUUGGUGAUCUUCGCGGAUUUGCCCAUGGAUUAUUGCAAUGCAAGAAAGCUCUUGUGAGUAAAACAACGAUUUUUGGUAUUUGGAUUCAAGAUUUCAGGACGAAGUUGAAUUUUGCCAUCUGAUGAUUACAAAGACAAUGUUGCCGGAUCUGGCGGUUCCGUAUUGAAAAAUAUUCACUGUGAUUUGAAAAUUACCGGAGAUGAAACGUCUCAUCAUGAGGUCUUGGAUUCUGUUCACAAUGGAGCGUCUAUGAUACCUACUGCCACAACCAAUCACAGUAGGUAAUUCAGAAAGAGCCUUUCUUGCCAAUGUUCGAGGAUAUUUUAGCUUCCCUGGAAAAUAAUCCCUGCGUGUUGAUUGUUGUUUCGAGAGCAGCUAUUCGGAUCCUUUGAAAGUAUUUCGAUCUAAUCAUUUAUUCGCCAACGCAGAUACUUAUACGAGUAGAUAAGUACAUAAUAAUGUGGAUUGUUGAGUAUUUUUUUUUUCAAGCUAUGCAGGUAGCUUUGAAAUAAAUAUUUAUCAAUUUUAAUAAUAA